AUGAACGCUGGCGGCGUGCCUAAUACAUGCAAGUCGAGCGAACAGACGAGGAGCUUGCUCCUCUGACGUUAGCGGCGGACGGGUGAGUAACACGUGGAUAACCUACCUAUAAGACUGGGAUAACUUCGGGAAACCGGAGCUAAUACCGGAUAAUAUACUGAACCGCAUGGUUCAAUAGUGAAAGACGGUUUUGCUGUCACUUAUAGAUGGAUCCGCGCCGCAUUAGCUAGUUGGUAAGGUAACGGCUUACCAAGGCAACGAUGCGUAUCCGACCUGAGAGGGUGAUCGGCCACACUGGAACUGAGACACGGUCCAGACUCCUACGGGAGGCAGCAGUAGGGAAUCUUCCGCAAUGGGCGAAAGCCUGACGGAGCAACGCCGCGUGAGUGAUGAAGGUCUUCGGAUCGUAAAACUCUGUUAUUAGGGAAGAACAAAUGUGUAAGUAACUAUGCACGUCUUGACGGUACCUAAUCAGAAAGCCACGGCUAACUACGUG
rnacentral:rRNA from 1 species